UUGAAGUAACUCAAAUUUUAGUACAUAGUCAUAAAUUUCUAAAUUCAUAAAUGUAUUAACGUAAACAAUGUCGUUUUUCAAAAGAAUUCGCCGCAAGAAAUCUCCUCCAUAUACGCCAUAUUACGAAAGUCAAAAACGGGAGGAGAGUCGACCUGUAAGAAAACCGGACAAUAAAAGUGCAGACUGUACACAUUGUUUAACAACUGAACCAUGUACAGGAAAGGAUAUUUGCCCCAUUUGUCAAAUUUAUUUGAUCCAUCAUUCAUCCACAAGCAAGGUACAAACAGAUGAGGCUUCAUAUUCAAACAUACUAUCUGCAAUAAGUGACAGCCCCUUAAAUGAAAAGAAGUCAUCGGAACGCUCUGUGGAACAACUGGAGAAAUUAAAGCACAUGAAAGAAACUUUGAAGAAGGAUUUACCCACGUUUAUGCGAUUAAGCAAAAAGAUUCAAAACAUAAAAACAUUUUAUCCUAAUAUUUACGGAAUGUCUGAUAAUAUAAUUGAAGUGUGGGGUAGAGACGAGAAGGCAUUAAACAUGAAGAAAGAACUGUUAAACUACGAUAAAGAAGACACUCAAUGCAUUUGGAUUUGACCAACUAAUGAAGAAUCUUUGCUCAACGGUUAAUGAUAUAUAAUUUUGUAGGCUCAAAUUAGCUAAAUAUAGAUAUAUUUACAUGGGUUUGAAAAAGUAAAAAAUAUUAAAAAUUAUCAAUUGUCCUAU